UUUCAUUUUCCAACGUUUUCCUCUCUCUCUCUCUCUAAACGAUCUUCCUCCCCCCUCUUGCCUCUGUCUCUUCGUUCCACAAAAAAACAACAACAACAUCCAUGAAUCCAAAACCCAGAAACCUUAAAUCAUCCCCCUAACCCCAAAACAUGCAUCUAAACAACAAUAAUCUCAAAUAUUCAAGCUAAAUUUUAAUCGUGGUUCGUAGAUGACGAAGAUGGCGCGAUGGAGAUUAAGGAGAACGACUCGGAUCAACAGCGAUCUAGGAUUUCAGACGUGAAACCCAGAUCGAGUGGCGGCGGCCGAUUGCUUUGAAGUUACGGCUUUGGGUUCGUAGUGAGGAUCUCCCGCAACAAUCACUUUCUACUCCUUCUUUUUGUGUUUAAUUUUUCGUCAAUUUUUUUUUUCCAUGAUUGUUGAUUUUAGGUUCAGAUUUAUAGUGUUUUGAAUAAAAAUAUAUUAGGAAAUAGAUUUAAGGUAUUUGAUUCAAAUUGAUUUAGUCUUGAUUUAGUUCCGAUUUGUUUAUGGAUUAAGGUUCUUGAUUUUAUUUGUAAAAUUAAUUAUAAAUUAAUUUCGGAUUUGAUUC